rnacentral:siRNA from 1 species
UUUGUUGUGUGAUGAUGUGUC